CAGGCCUAACACAUGCAAGUCGAACGAACCUUUUAGGUGAGUGGCGCACGGGUGCGUAACGCGUGGGAAUAUACCCUUGAGUGAGGAAUAACGUAGAGAAAUUUGCGCUAAUACCUCAUAAUGACUCCGGUCCAAAGAUUUAUCGCUCAAGGAUUAGCCCGCGUCAGAUUAGAUAGUUGGUGAGGUAACGGCUCACCAAGUCGACGAUCUGUAGGGGGUCUGAGAGGAUGAUCCCCCACACUGGUACUGAGACACGGACCAGACUCCUACGGGAGGCAGCAGUGAGGAAUAUUGGACAAUGGAGGCAACUCUGAUCCAGCCAUGCCGCGUGAGUGAAGAAGGCCUUAGGGUUGUAAAGCUCUUUCAAUUGCGAAGAUAAUGACGGUAACAAUAGAAGAAGCUCCGGCUAAAUUCGUGCCAGCAGCCGCGGUAAUACGAAUGGAGCAAGCGUUGUUCGGAAUCACUGGGCUUAAAGCGUAUGUAGGCGGACUAGAAAGUCAGGAGUGAAAUCCCGAGGCUCAACCUCGGAACUGCUCUUGAAACUCCUAGUCUAGAAUCCUGGAGAGGUUAGGAGAAUUCCGAGUGUAGAGGUGAAAUUCGCAGGUAUUCGGAGGAAUACCAGUGGCGUAGGCGCCUAACUGGACAGGUA
rnacentral:rRNA from 1 species